rnacentral:misc_RNA from 1 species
AAAAGCACAAGACAAUAUGCAGCAUCUUGCUGAAUAUAAGGUCAGUAUAUCCAAUGGCAGAAACAUAAUAAUGGGGGCUCCAAAUUAUGGAGCAAGAACAAAGAGAUGUACAACAACAAUCCCCAUGCAGCUAAAAAAUUCACUCCUGAAAUUCAUAAAAGAAGCUCCCUAAAUCCGUUAAUCGGUUAAUGUCACUUUAUAAUCGAUGAAUGGAUGAAAUUACAGCCUCGUUUUCCCCAUGUUUUAAGUUAACAGGACAGCCGAAGGAGUGCCUGCAGGGCAUCUUUGUCUCCGAGGGCGUCUAGGUGUCUUUCCCCACCCUGUUAGGCUUUUAUUAUCUUCCAAACUGGCUUCAAUGUUAUUAAGUUGGUGUAUUAGUGGAGAGUUCACCGUUGUUGUGGUCAGCACAGGGGCUGGGGCUGGA